UACGUAGGGUCCGAGCGUUGUCCGGAGUUACUGGGCGUAAAGCGCGCGCAGGCGGCGGUGCUGGCCCGGCGUGAAAGCCCCCGGCUCAACCGGGGAGGGUCGUCGGGGACCGCACCGCUUGAGGGCGGUAGGGGCUGGUGGAAUGCCUGGUGUAGUGGUGAAAUGCGUAGAGAUCAGGCGGAACACCCGUGGCGAAGGCGGCCAGCUGGGCCGUCCCUGACGCUGAGGCGCGAAGGCGUGGGGAGCGAACGGG
rnacentral:rRNA from 3 species